rnacentral:lncRNA from 1 species
UCUAUCUAGAUACCCGACCUUAAAAAAGAAGAAUUUUUCACCGCUUCGCUGAUUGUGAUGAAAGAUCGCGUGCUCAACGAUCUCCUUAAGCUCAGGCGGCACAGCCAUGGACCAGACUUCGGGUGGGUGGAGUCGCAGCCUCAAGCCGAUCCUACAUACCAGUACCUUGGAAAUUAUAUGAUGCUGCCCGAAGGAGUCAUACACAAGCCUUUCUUUUGGGUGGAGACGAGCCCGUGA